rnacentral:rRNA from 1 species
CCUACGGGCGGCAGCAGUGAGGAAUAUUGGUCAAUGGGCGCGAGCCUGAACCAGCCAAGUAGCGUGAAGGAUGACUGCCCUCCGGGUUGUAAACUUCUUUUAUAAAGGAAUACAGUUAGGCACGUGUGCCUUUUUGUAUGUACUUUAUGCAUAAGGAUCGGCUAACUCCGUGCCAGCAGCCGUGGUAAUACGGAGGCGCCGAGCGGUAUCCGGAUUUCUUGGGUUUAAAGGGAGCGUAGAUGGGUUGUUAAGUCAGUUGGGAAAGUUUGCGGCUCAACCGUAAAAUUGCAAUUGAUACUGGCAGCCUUGAGUACAGUUGAGGUAGGCGGAAUUCGUGGUGUAGCGGUGAAAUGCUUAGAUAUCACGAAGAACUCCGAUGGCGAAGGCAGCUUACUAAACUGCCACUGACAUUGAUGCUCGAAAGUGUGGGUAUCAAACAGGAUUAGAUACCCCAGUAGUC